AGUGAACGCUGGCGGUAGGCCUAACACAUGCAAGUCGAACGGCAGCACAGUAAGAGCUUGCUCUUACGGGUGGCGAGUGGCGGACGGGUGAGGAAUACAUCGGAAUCUACUUUUUCGUGGGGGAUAACGUAGGGAAACUUACGCUAAUACCGCAUACGACCUACGGGUGAAAGCAGGGGAUCUUCGGACCUUGCGCGAUUGAAUGAGCCGAUGUCGGAUUAGCUAGUUGGCGGGGUAAAGGCCCACCAAGGCGACGAUCCGUAGCUGGUCUGAGAGGAUGAUCAGCCACACUGGAACUGAGACACGGGCCAGACUCCUACGGGAGGCAGCAGUGGGGAAUAUUGGACAAUGGGCGCAAGCCUGAUCCAGCCAUACCGCGUGGGUGAAGAAGGCCUUCGGGUUGUAAAGCCCUUUUGUGGGGAAAAAAAAGCAGCAGGUUAAUACCCCGCUGUUCUGACGGUACCAAAAGAAUAAGCACCGGCUAAUUUCGU
rnacentral:rRNA from 1 species